CUAAUAUAUCUACCAUGGUCC
rnacentral:piRNA from 1 species